rnacentral:ncRNA from 18 species
CUUCAAGAAUAAAAGGCAUGUUAUGCACUAAAGCAUAACUGGGAAGGGGGUGACAAUCCCCCGCAGCCCCCGCUGCUGUGAUGCUGACGAACCCGUAGAAACCACUGAUCCACAAGAUUGGGAAGGUGCGGGAGAGGAUGACGCUAAGCCAGAAGACCAGCCCGCUCAGUAAAAGAUUUU